GCCCCUGUUCUUAUUUGCAUGAAACCCCGCCACUCGUCUGCCAGCGCCAGGUGACGGACCCAGCUCGCAGCACACAGAACAUCGCGGCCGCUUGAGACAACAGGAGCUUAUUGGUGCCAUCAUUCCCGGAUCAACAAGGUUCUACUUGGUUCAAGUUAAGUGCUUAUGUGUCUUAUGGGGUUAAAAUGGUAACAUCUUGCAAAUAUGGACUGGGACUAACUUGUCAUAAGGCACCGUAUGAUAGAAAGUAAAUGAAUUGAGCGUGUUUUGUUGACAUACCAAGGGAUGUUUCUGGUAGAUAUUCGGACGUGCAUUUUGUAAACGGAGGCUCUUUUUGCAGUCAAGGCUUCAGUCUGUUUCCGUGGUGUACAUGCCUGGUGUGUGGCUGAUUUUUGUUUCUGUUGGUUUCUGUGACUGUUGAUGACCGGAUUGUAUUCGGUCAGUUAUUGUACGUACAUUCUGUUCUUUACAAAACAGGGUCUUCCCUGGUUCACCAUCUGUUGUAAUUUCUGUUUCAUGUCGUGGUCAGUGGUUGUCGGGAACCUAGACCAUUACAUAAUCUGCUUUGUGUUGCUCUCUUGGGUCCCGAACCAAGAGAACAACACAGGCCAGAAAGGACGACAGGUGGUUGAAGAACCUAUUUUAUAUUAGUAGUAGUAAUUCUCGGCGUAGACACAGUCACAGAAACCGAAUCAGCCAUUCAUCGGGCUUGUAUACCACAGAAACAGACUGAAGCAGCCAUAGCUUCUCGAAAUUUCAACCGAAACAAACGUCAACAUUACUUGGGAUUUCAUCGAAGCACACUCAAUCGUUACUACACAUAAAUUCAUCCCACUUUUUCCACGACAAACCUAGAACGGAAGUUUUAAUCACAAACCAAGUUAACUUUCCGUACUUUAACUUACGUGUAAGGUAUAUUUCCUAUAUUUUUGAGCCAAAAUAAUUCAUUUCGUCUCGUCUUUUCUACCGAGGAUCAUCGCACCGCAAGAAGAAAUAUCCGGACGUGGAAAGGGAGGCGAAGACUGACGAAGGAAGGUACCGGACGUGACCGAAUGUAGAUUCACAGUCUUCCAACACAUGACAAGGAGCUUAUUGGUGGCUUCAUUCCCGGAUCAACUGCAGCUACAAGGUUCAAGUUAAGUGCUUAUGUGUCUUAUGGGGUUAAAAUGGUAACAUCUUGCAAAUAUGGACUGGGACUAACUUGUCAUAGGCACGAUAGAAAGUAAAUGAAUUGAGUGUGUUUUGUUGACAUACCAAGGGAUGUUUCUGGUAGAUAUUCGGACGUGCAUUUUGUAAACAGAGGCUCUUUUUGCAGUCAAGGCUUCAGUCUGUUUCCGUGGUGUACAUGCCUGGUGUGUGGCUGAUUUUUGUUUCUGUUGGUUUCUGUGACUGUUGAUGACCGGAUUGUAUUCGGUCAGUUAUUGUACGUAAAUUCUGUUCUUUACAAAACAGGGUCUUCCCUGGUUCACCAUCUGUUGUAAUUUCUGUUUUAUGUCGUGGUCAGUGGUUGUCGGGAACCUGGACCAUUACAUAAUCUGCUUUGUGUCGCUCUCUUGGGUCCCGAACCAAGAGAACAACACAGGCCAGAAAGGACGACAGGUGGUUGAAGAACCUAUUUUAUAUUAGUAGUAGUAAUUCUCGGCGUAGACACAGUCACAGAAACCGAAUCAGCCAUUCAUCGGGUUUGUAUACCGCAGAAACAGACUGAAGCAGCCAUAGCUUCAUGAAAUUUCAACCGAAACAAACGUCAACAUUACUUGGGAUUUCAUCGAAGCACACUCAAUCGUUACUACACAUAAAUUCAUCCCACUUUUUCCACGAUAAACCUAGAACGGAAGUUUUAAUCACUAACCAAGUUAACUUUCUGUACUUUAACUUACGUGUAAGGUAUAUUUCCUAUAUUUUUUAGCCAAAAUAAUUCAUUUUCGUCUCGUCAUUUCUACCGAGAAUCAUCGCACCGCAAGAAGAAAUGUCCGGACGUGGAAAGGGAGGAGAGGACUGGCGAAGGAAGGUACCGGACGUGACCGAAUGGGGAUUCAGUCUUCAACACAUAUAUGCAAGAAACACCUGCACGCCGUAAGAGAGGAAAGGAGCUUGGGAGAAUUGAGCUGUCAAUCGCCUGUCACUGAAAGUGCUGGUCAACAUCCAGUGCAUCACCGAGCCAAGGAGGCAUUCAGUCUUUCCGAGACAUAUGACAAGGACGUAGGCGUGGACAGCUUAGCUGCGAGGAAGCUGAUGCGUGCAUACGUCCUGGCCCUGCAUGUGAACCUGUUCGCUAUCAUUGGAGGAAGGAAGCAAACAAGAAGACUGUUGACUGGGUUAACACAACUGUACAACAAGUUUGGAAUGAGACAACUCUCAGCAGCUUCCAGUAUCUUAUUGGUGCCAUCACGCCCGGAACAACUACAGCUGCAACGCUCAUGUUUGGACUUAUCCUGGUGAGAGGCUGCCUGAUGCCCUCUCCACGGUGACGUCCAGAAAGAUGCACUCAGGACUUCAACCCGCUUCUGUGUUGUACAGGCCCGAUGUGUGACUGAUUUGGUUUCUGUGACUGUGUCGAUGGCCCUGAUCGUACCCAACCAGUUACUGUAAAUUCUGUUCUUUAUAAAACAGGAACUUUCCUGGUUAAUCAUCUGUUGUCAUUUCUGUUUCAUGUCGUGGUCAGUGGUUGUCGGGAAUCUGGACCAUUACAUAAUCUGCCUUGUGUCGCUAUCUUGGGUCCCGAACUAAGAGAACGACACGGGCCAGAAAGAAAGACAGGUGCUUCAAAAGCCUAUUUGAUCUUUGGUCCUUUAGAAACACUCGACUUCUCGGUAUCGACACAAUCACAGAAACUGAAUCAAUCAAAUAGAAUGCAAAGUGUGUCAUCCUACAGCCAUGAUCUAUAUGAUGAUGUUAGAUAUAUGUAGUUAAGCUUGUAUUUUUGUACAUAAGUGGUGGUCUACAGUUUAGAUAAGUAGAUGUCAACAUUGUCCGUUUAUUGUGUAGAGGUUGUUUGUAGCCUUUUAAAUCAGUCCUUUGGAAAUUUCCCAACCCAAGGCUUAGGCUGACGUUUACACUAACACAAACACAAACACACACACACACUAACGCACCAUACACACACACUAACAGACUAAUACAACAUAUUUUUGUAACACUAACAAUCAGCUCAAAGCUUUAAACUUAAGACCGCAUAAAAGAUUUCUAUGAUUCUUUACUUACAAAGGCUCCAAGCUACCACUAUACCAUGUACUGGCAAUGUCGACAUUUACUGAUUCUAGGCUUUGAUGCCUACUGUAUCCCAGAGUGAGGAUAAUUGUUUACCUAAAUGGGUAGAUAUUAAGUUUUAGUUCGAUUUAUUUAGCUUUAGUGCUAGAGCAAUUUUUUACUGUGUGGCUUUGUAUAUUGUACACAUGUGUACACUUUGCAUUCAUCUAUUGCAUUUAAAUAAACAGUUUGAAAUCA